UCUUUGAUAACUGCCCUUCUUUUUGGGGCCACCAUGGCUUGCUGAUGCUGGACACCCUUCACCCUACCGGGGAAGGCACUGCCAUCUUAUCUGCGAUGCGAACAUAGAUAGAGCUCUACAGGGAGGGUAACAUUAGCACUCUACAGCAGGCCAUGGAGCAGGUGAUUAGAGAACCUGCAGGGCUUAUGACUAAUGUGGUUAUUGAAUCCAUUAGCCUAGUGAGGAAAUUAGUGUUAGAUCAAUCACUA